GUGUCCAUAUUAGCAGCAGUGAUGCUUUCUAAGAAAUGCCGGAAACAAAUGGUGGUGGCCUGUGCACGUGGUUAUUUGCAGAAGCUCGUCGGGUGGGGUGGCGCAAGUUUAUGGGGACUCUUUCUCAGGCCUUAAGUUGAGCAACAACAGAAGAGGCUAUCAAAAAAUUGAUGUUAGCAAAUCUAACACAAAAGUGCUGAGUAUACAAUGAAGCUGAUGAGAGCAAUCCAGGAGAGUGUGGUUGUUAGGACUAACGGAGAGUGAAUAUCCAGAUUUCAGCAUUGAAGAGAAGUUAAAUGCUUUUGUUGCGUUGAUUGAUCUACUCAGAGUUGGUUCCUGUAUCAAAAUGGAGGGCUAAAGAUACAACCCAGAAUCAGAGUCGGCCGUCGAAUUUCUUGCCAAAACACUGCCAACGGGGUGUGGUGACGUUACGCUCCAAAGGCUGCAAUGCGAAACACGGAAAAGAGGCAUGUUCUAUGUGCCGUGUCUUCCACUUGACGUUUUAGUUCCAACUCUAACCAUCAAAGUGGAAACAAGAAGCAUCAGAUGAAUAUCACAAGGGCAAUGAGUAAUGUCAGACAAACCAAAAUCAUUAUAUGAGAUCUCUGCUACUGUAAGUCUGUAUAUAAUUUUCCAAAAUUAUAUCUGCGACAUUGGCGAGGAGGAGGCUCCGGCAAAAGUUCUAUCAGCGCUCAUGAAAUUUGCUGGAAAUUGGAGGAUUUUCUGGAAAGAAGAAAAGUGAACAGUUUCUGCAGUUAAACUUGAGUAUACAAUGAAGCUGAUGAGAGCAAUCCAGGAGAGUGUGGUUGUUAGGACUAACGGAGAGUGAAUAUCCAGAUUUCAGCAUUGAAGAGAAGUUAAAUACUUUUGUUGCGUUGAUUGAUCUACUCAGAGUUGGUUCCAGUAUCAAAAUGGAGGGCUAAAGAUACAACCCAGAUUCAGAGUCGGCUCUUGAAUUUCUUGCCAAAACACUCCAACGGGCUGUGGUGACAUUAGGCUCAAAAGGCUGCAACGCGAAACACGGAAAAGAGGCAUGUUCUGUGUGCCGUGUCUUCCACUUGACGUUUUAGUGCCAACUCUAACCAUCAAAGCGGAAACAAGAAGCAUCAGAUGAACAUCACAAGGGCAAUGAGUAAUGUCAGACAAACCAAAAUCAUCAUAUGAGAUCUCUGCUACUGUAUAUAAUUUUCCAAAAUUCUGUCUGCGACAUUGACGAGGAGGAGGCUCCGGCGAAAGGUCUAUGAGCGCUCAUGAAAUAUGCUGGAAAUUGGAGAAUUUUCUGCAAGGAAGAAAAGGGAACAGUUUCUGCAGUUAAACUCUUGCAUCCAUUUGCGCAAAACCUGGAUAAGUAUUUGGUGUCCAUAUUAGCAGCAGUCAUGCCUUCUAAGAAAUGCCGGAAACAAAUGGUGGUGGCCUGUGCACGUGGUUAUUUGCAGAAGCUCGUCGGGUGGGCUGGCGCAAGUUAAUGGGGACUCUUUCUCAGGCCUUAAGUUGAGCAACAACAGAAGAGGCUAUCAAAAAAUUUAUGUUAGCAAAUCUAACACAAAAGUGCUGAGUAUACAAUGAAGCUGAUGAGAGCAAUCCAGGAGAGUGUGGUUGUUAGGACUAACUAACGGAGAGUGAAUAUCCAGAUUUCAGUAUUAAAGAGAAGUUAAAUGCUUUUGUUGCGUUGAUUGAUCUAAUCAGAGUUGGUUCCAGUAUCAAAAUGGAGGCUAAAGAUACAACCCAGAUUCAGAGGCGGCCCUUGAAUUUCUUGCCAAAACACUGCCAACGGGCUGUGGUGACAUUAGGCUCCAAAGGCUGCAACGCGAAACACGGAAAAGAGGCAUGUUCUAUGUGCCGUGUCUUCCACUUGACGUUUUAGUUCCAACUGUAACCAUCAAAGUGGAAACAAGAAGCAUCAGAUGAACAUCAUAAGGGCAAUGAGUAAUGUCAGACAAACCAAAAUCAUUAUAUGAGAUCUCUGCUACUGUAUAUAAUUUUCCAAAAUUCUAUCUGCGACUUUGACGAGGCGGAGGCUCCGGAAAAAGUUCUAUCAGCGCUCAUGAAAUAUGCUGGAAAUUGGAGAAUUUUCUGGAAGGAAGAAAAGGGAACAGUUUCUGCAGUUAAACUCUUGCAUCCAUUUGUGCAAAACCUGGAUAAGUAUUUGGUGUCCAUAUUAGCAGCAGUCAUGCCCUCUAAGAAAUGCCGGAAACAAAUGGUGGUGGCCUGUGCACGUGGUUAUUUGCAGAAGCUCGUCGGGUGGGCUUUUAUGGGGACUCUUUCUCAGGCCUUAAGUUGAGCAACAACAGAAGAGUCUAUCAAAAAAUUGAUGUUAGCAAAUCUAACACAAAAAUGCUGAGUAUACAAUGAAGUUGAUGAGAGCAAUCCAGGAGGGUGUGGUUCUUAGGACUAAUGGAGAGUGAAUAUCCAGAUUUCAGCAUUGAAGAGAAGUUAAAUGCUUUUGUUGCGUUGAUUGAUCUACUCAGAGUUGGUUCCAGUAUCAAAAUGGAGGGCUAAAGAUACAACCCAGAUUCAGAGUCGGCCGUCGAAUUUCUUGCCAAAACACUGCCAACGGGGUGUGGUGACGUUACGCUCCAAAGGCUGCAACGCGAAACACGGAAAAGACGCAUGUUCUAUGUGCCGUGUCUUCCACUUGACGUUUUAGUUCCAACUCUAACCAUCAAAGUGGAAACAAGAAGCAUCAGAUGAAUAUCACAAGGGCAAUGAGUAAUGUCAGACAAACCAAAAUCAUUAUAUGAGAUCUUUGCUACUGUAUAUAAUUUUCCAAAAUUCUGUCUGCGACAUU